UACGUAGGGUGCAAGCGUUAAUCGGAAUUACUGGGCGUAAAGCGUGCGCAGGCGGUUUUGUAAGUUUGUCGUGAAAUCCCCGGGCUCAACCUGGGAAUGGCGAUGAAGACUGCAAGGCUAGAGUUUGGCAGAGGGGGGUAGAAUUCCACGUGUAGCAGUGAAAUGCGUAGAUAUGUGGAGGAACACCGAUGGCGAAGGCAGCCCCCCUGGGUCAAAAACUGACGCUCAUGCACGAAAGCGUGGGGAGCAAACAGG
rnacentral:rRNA from 1 species